AGGUCUAGCCUGCCCAGUGACAAAGUUCAACGGCCACGGUACCCUAACCGUGCGAAGGUAGCAUAAUCACUUGUUCUUUAAAUAGGGACUAGUAUCAACGGCAUCACGAGGGUUGCACUGUCUCCUUCCUCUAAUCAGUGAAACUGAUCUCCCCGUGAAGAAGCGGGGAUACAACUAUAAGACGAGAAGACCCCAUGGAGCUUUAAACCAAUUGCAACUCAAUCACAUAUUUCCUCUUAACUCCAAGAGCCAUGCAUAUAGGUUUUAGGUUGGGGUGACCGCGGAGUACAAGUAAACCUCCACGACGAAAAGAACUAAAUCUUUAUCCAAGAGCUACAGCUCUCAGAAUUAGCACACUAACGAACUAUGAUCCGAUGAUAAUCGAUCAACGAACCAAGUUACCCUGGGGAUAACAGCGCAAUCUACUUCAAGAGCUCAUAUCGACAAGUAGGCUUACGACCUCGAUGUUGGAUCAGGGUACCCAAGUGGUGCAGCCGCUACUAAUGGUUCGUUUGUUCAACGAU
rnacentral:rRNA from 1 species